AAUCACUACUAGGGGUGCCAUAUAGAAUUGGCUGAGAGAGCAGUAGCUUAACCCUCUAACUUGAUACAGUUCGCACUGUCGUAAGGAAGAAGUGACAUUUUUAG
rnacentral:ncRNA from 2 species